UACCNAAGGAUAGUAGUAUUCCACUGGU
rnacentral:tRNA from 1 species